rnacentral:rRNA from 1 species
UUUAUAAAGAGUUUGAUCCUGGCUCAGGACGAACGCUGGCGGCGCGCCUAACACAUGCAAGUCGAACGAGCGAGAGAGAGCUUGCUUUCUCGAGCGAGUGGCGAACGGGUGAGUAACGCGUGAGGAACCUGCCUCAAAGAGGGGGACAACAGUUGGAAACGACUGCUAAUACCGCAUAAGCCCACGGCUCGG